UUGGAGGGCAAGUCUGGUGCCAGCAGCCGCGGUAAUUCCAGCUCCAAUAGCGUAUAUUAAAGUUGUUGCAGUUAAAAAGCUCGCAGUUGAAUUUCGGGAUUCAUCCGUUGGUCGGGCUUCACGGUCCGUACUGGUGUGAUGGGUUCCUACCUUCUGAAUAACCGGCAUGCCAUUAAUUUGGUGCGCCGGGGAAGCAGAACUAUUACCUUGAAAAAAUUAGAGUGCUUAAAGCAGGCAAGUGCCUGAAUAGGUUAGCGUGGAAUAAUAAAAUAGGACGGCAUGGUUCUAUUUUGUUGGUUUCUAGGAUCACCGUAAUGAUUAAUAGGGAUAGUUGGGGGCAUUAGUAUUCAAUUGUCAGAGGUGAAAUUCUUGGAUUUAUUGAAGACUAACUUCUGCGAAAGCAUUUGCCAAGGAUGUUUUCAUUAAUCAAGAACGAAAGUUAGGGGAUCGAAGACGAUCAGAUACCGUCGUAGUCUUAACCAUAAACUAUGCCGACUAGGGAUCGGACGAUGUUAAUUUUUUAAUGACUCGUUCGGCGCCUUACGGGAAA
rnacentral:rRNA from 1 species